rnacentral:rRNA from 1 species
AGAGUUUGAUCAUGGCUCAGAUUGUACGCUGGCGGCAGGCUUCACACAUGCAAGUCGAACGGUAACAGGGAGAAAGCUUGCUUUCUUUGCUGACGAGUGGCGGACGGGUGAGUAAUGCUUGGGAAUCUGGCUUAUGGAGGGGGAUAACUACGGGAAACUGUAGCUAAUACCGCGUAAUAUCUUCGGAUUAAAGGGUGGGACCGUAAGGCCACCUGCCAUAAGAUGAGCCCAAGUGGGAUUAGGUAGUUGGUGGGGUAAAGGCCUACCAAGCCGACGAUCUCCAGCUGGUCUGAGAGGAUGACCAGCCACACUGGAACUGAGACACGGUCCAGACUCCUACGGGAGGCAGCAGUGGGGAAUAUUGCACAAUGGGGGGAACCCUGAUGCAGCCAUGCCGCGUGAAUGAAGAAGGCCUUCGGGUUGUAAAGUUCUUUCGGUGAUGAGGAAGGCGGUUGUUUUAAUAGAACAAUCGAUUGACGUUAGUCACAGAAGAAGCACCGGCUAACUCCGUGCCAGCAGCCGCGGUAAUACGGAGGGUGCGAGCGUUAAUCGGAAUGACUGGGCGUAAAGGGCACGCAGGCGGUGACUUAAGUGAGAUGUGAAAGCCCCGGGCUUAACCUGGGAAUUGCAUUUCAUACUGGGUUGCUAGAGUAUUUUAGGGAGGGGUAGAAUUCCACGUGUAGCGGUGAAAUGCGUAGAGAUGUGGAGGAAUACCGAAGGCGAAGGCAGCCCCUUGGGAAUAUACUGACGCUCAUGUGCGAAAGCGUGGGGAGCAAACAGGAUUAGAUACCCUGGUAGUCCACGCUGUAAACGCUGUCGAUUUGGGGAUUGGGCUUUGAGCUUGGUGCCCGUAGCU